CUGCCUUGAUGUGAUACGUGACACAGUUUUGUGUACAUGGGAGACAGACACUGAUUUUAUAAUGUCUGUAAUGCCUCUCUCUAUAAUGUCUGUAAUGCCUCUCUCUCUCUCUGAACAAUGAAAUAUGUAAGCGGAACAAAAAAUUAUAUCUGAAAGGACUAAUCUCGUUUAUCCCAUUUUUAAAGUGUGUUGACAACAUAUUUCACUUCACAAACACCCAGUAACAUAUUACAGCCAGUCUAAUAUUUUAAUGAAUUUCGACAUAUGAAAUAUACCUUCAGAUAUUCAUGAAUUUAAAAAAACCUUUCUGGGAUAACUGUCCAACCGUAUCAUAACCAUUGUCUUUGUUUUUGUUGUCUAUGUUUUUGUUGUAAACAAAUGUCCUGUUCUGCUUGAAAUUGAUCUUCUGAUAUUCAUAUCAUCUCAUUCCUAUCAUAGAAAUAAAGUGGUAUUUAUGUUGUAUGUAAACAAGAUAUAACAGAUGCAGUUGGCACACAAUAAUAAUUAUUGAAAUGUGACUUAAGGGAAGUGAAUGUCUUUUCAGGUAAUGGAUUGCAUUUAAUUUAAUUUCGUUAUUAAUCCGGUACAUAAAACGAACCCAGCAUUUUCUUCAUUCAAAGUAUGAGUAAUAGUGAAUUACAAAACAGUAUAAAUACACCAUUCAGUUACAAUAAGUAUUAGUGCAGUAAGUAGAAGGAAUAACUAUCAAGAUUCUUAGAAUCCUGUUGAUAAUUGGUAGAACAGCUAUCUCUUUUUUUACAUUAUCCUCAUGCUGUUCAAUAUUCUCAUGUUCUCCAUAGAAAUUAAUCUUUUCCCUGUACAUUUUGGGGUAAUAAAUAAUAAUAAAUAGUAUACAGUUCUAAUAAUUAAUAUGAUUACAUUGUUGGUAAGUUUCCCUGUCACAGUGGUGAUCAGUUAUAUCAGUAUUAGUCAAGCAGUUGUGACAACAUAACAAGACAGAUGAGUAGACGUGUCUUGUAGCUUAUUCCACUGAAGGCGGCAGCAUUGUUUAUUGUUGAUUCAACAACAGAUGUUGUUGAAGCAGCUGUGUUUGGUGUAGGACCAGCUGUUGUUGUUGUGGGGGUGGCUGUGGUAGUUGCGGCAAAUGUGGUGGCUGCAGAAGUUGUAGUUCCUGUAACACCACAGAAGUUAUCUCAUAAAAAGGUACCCAAUAUAGAGUGCCAUGAGUCAAUGAGGAGAGGGACGACAAUGACAAGGUCAGCAGUGAUGGCUUAACUUACUUGCAGUAAUGGAGGUUGUGUCAAUGUCGAGGAAGGUGUUCCCGUGAGACAGAGAGUCAUUCAAUCCCUGCUCCACACUCGUUACAUUGGGAACUACUGUCUGGUUCUUGAAAAUAAGGGUCAUGUUGACAAUAAUUGACCCUCUCCUGUAAACGAAAUAUAUAAAGAUUUAGUUUUCAUUUCGAGGUCAGAUCUUAAACCGUUGUUUCCAAGAAAGUAUUAAGAAAACAAGACAAGGUAUAGUAAUUAUUUGUAUUUGUUUUCUUAAUAUACACUGCUCAAAAAACAACACAAUGUACAACACAAUGUAACUCCAAGUCAAUCACACUUCUGUGAAAUCAAACACUGAUUGACAAUAAAUGUCACAUGCUGUUGUGCAAAUGGAAUAGAAAACAGGUGGAAAUUAUAGGCAAUUAGCAAGACACCCCCAAUAAAGGAGUGGUUCUGCAGGUGGUGACCACAGACCACUUCUCAGUUCCUAUGCUUCCUGGCUGAUGUUUUGGUCACUUUUGAAUGCUGGCGGUGCUUUCACUCUAGUGGUAGCAUGAGACGGAGUCUACAACCCACACAAGUGGCUCAGGUAGUGAAGCUCAUCCAGGAUGGCACAUCAAUGCGAGCUGUGGAAAGAAGGUUUGCUGUGUCUGUCAGCGUAGUGUCCAGAGCAUGGAGGCGCUAGCAGGAGACAGGCCAGUACAUCAGGAGAUGUGGAGGAGGCCGUAGGAGGGCAACAACCCAGCAGCAGGACCACUACCUCUGCCUUUGUGCAAGGAGGAGCAGGGGUGAGCACUGCCAGAGCCCUGCAAAAUGACCUCCAGCAGGCCACAAAUGUGCAUGUGUCUGCUCAAACGGUCAGAAACAGACUCCAUGAGGGUGGUAUGAGGGCCCGACGUCCACAGGUGGGGGUUGUGCUUACAGCCCAACAUGUGCAGGACGUUUGGCACUUGCCAGAGAACACCAAGAUUGGCAAAUUCGCCACUGGCACCCUGUGCUCUUCACAGAUGAAAGCAGGUUCACACUGAGCAGAUGUGACAGAGUCUGUAGACGCCAUGGAGAACGUUCAUGUGGCUGGAGUGUGUCAGCAGUUCCUUCAAGAGGUAGGCAUUGAUGCUACGGACUGGCCCGCCCAUUCCCCAGACCUGAAUCCAAUUGAGCACAUCUGGGAAAUCAUGUCUCGCUCCAUGCUUUAGUCCAGGUCUGGGAGGAGAUCCCUCAGGAGACCAUCCGCCACCUCAUCAGGAGCAUGCCCAGGCGUUGUAGGGAGGUCAUACAGACACAUGGAGGCCACACACACUACUGAGCCUCAUUUUGACUUGUUUUAAGAACAUUACAUCCACGUUGGAUCAGCCUGUAGUGUGGUUUUCCACUUUAAUUUUGAGUGUGACUCCAAAUCCAGACCUCCAUGGGUUAAUACAUUUGAUUUCCAUUGAUCAUUUUUGUGUGAUUUUGUUGUCAGCACAUUCAACUAUGUAAAGAAAAAAGUAUUUAAUAAGAAUAUUUCAUUCAUUCAGAUCUAGGAUGUGUUAUUUUUGUCUUCCCUUUAUUUUUUUGAGCAGUGUAUUAUUCAAACUUAUAUCACCAUCACUGUUAUUUUGAGAUAAUUCUAUUUGAAUGGAGAGAUUCAUAGACAUACAGAAACAAUUAUUGUUACUUACGUGAACUGAAUAAUCCUACACCUUACGUAUGUUGAAGGGUAAAUUCUUUUGUAACCAUGAUUCACCUGUAAACAAAUUAGUGUCAAUAAUUUUGAUACUAAUUAAGUCAGUAACUAAGUCAGUGACACCAUGUUAAUGACACAAUGUUUUUAAAAGAUGAGCUGAUUACCUCUGUGGUAACAUUUUCUGCCAGUUCCUGAUAUGCUGUUGUGGAAGAAUCAGUAUAGUCACUUUGGAAUGCACGGAACAUUCUGAAUCCUAAUCCCAUUGACCCCUCAUUCGCUGUCGGUGCCGCUGUUGACUUAGUUGUGGUAGCGGUGGCAGUUGUGGGAACAAUUUUGGUUGUCGUUGGUACAGUGGUGUUUGUGGCAGAAGCUGUGGAUGUUAUAGGAGCAGCUGUGGUUGUUGUAACGAAAACUGUGGUUGUAGUUGGAGCAUCUGUAGUUUUUGUGGCAGAAGCUGUGGUUGUUGUUUUGUCAGCUGUGAUUGUAGUUGGAGAUGCUGUGGUUGUUGUGGCAGCAACUAUGGUUGUUGUGGCAGCUGCUGUGGUUGUGUUGGCUGCUGCGUUGGUUGCAGUUUGAGCAGCUGUGGUAGUAGUGGCAGCAGCUGUGGUUGUUGUGGGAGAAACUGUGGAUGUUGUGACUCCAUUUGUGGUUGUAGUUGGAGCAUCUGUGGUUGUCGUGACAGGAGCUGUGGUUGUAGUAGGAGCAGUAGUGGCUGUGGUGGCAGCUCCUGUGAUUGUGGUGGUUGCUGCUGUUGUUGUAGUCGAAGCAGCUGUGGUUGUUGUGAUGCCUGCUGUGGUGACUGUAGCGGCACCUGUGGUUGUGAUGGCAGCAGCUGUGGUUGUUGUGGCAGCAGCUGUGGUUGUUGUGGCAGCAACUGUGGAUGUUGUGACUCCAUUUGUGGUUGUAGUUGGAGCAUCUGUAGUUGUCGUGACAGGAGCUGUGGUUGUAGUAGGAGCAGUAGUGGUUGUGGUGGCAGCUCCUGUGAUUGUGGUGGUUGCUGCUGUUGUUGUAGUCGAAGCAGCUGUGGUUGUUGUGAUGCCAGCUGUGGUGACUGUAGCGGCACCUGUGGUUGUGAUGGCAGCAGCUGUGGUUGUUGUGGCAGCAGCUGUGGUUGUUGUGGGAGAAACUGUGGAUGUUGUGACUCCAUUUGUGGUUGUAGUUGGAGCAUCUGUGG
ensembl:lncRNA